CUCUAAAUGACGUAAUUUACACUUUUGAUGACAGCAGUAGUCACAACAUGGAGAUUUAUUGUGAAACAGUACCUCCCUGGAAUAUUUUGUUAAACUUUUGUAGUACUGUGGAUAUAAUUUCAGUCUUCUGAUCCUGAGUUCGAGUAUAGCGGGGAAUUCGGUUUUGUCGAAAGGCAAUAUUUUUUAAAGGUUAGCUUUACCCCAAAUUGAAUUGUUCGCCGUUUUCAAGCCGAACACAUUUCAUAUCAAUAAAAUACCGGUAAAUGUUUAUGCCAAACUUUUCCUAACGGCGUGGAAGAUCCUUCAGUUGAACAUAAUUGCACAGGUGAGCGACGUGGUCCAUAGGCUUAUUAAAGAUUCGCUCUAUUAAAGACUAAAUUUAUUCAGAAUUUUAUGAAUUGGAAAUCAAUCAUUCAAAGAUGAGAUUGGUAACCGGUUUGCCAUAUUGCUUCUCAAACACUUCUUGUUUCAAAUACACAUUUAUAAUCGAGAUGGCAUGAAUUAAAAAGCUCACAGCCUUUGAAGACAAGAUAUAAAGCAAACAGGUUUAAGACGAUUAAACCUGGUACUGAUUUAUUAAAGGUUCAUACUAGUGGGGCCACUCUGUUUAACAAAUAAAUUUUGCAGAAAGUCAUUUGGCAAUGUUUAAUUCUAUGUUAACAAUCAAACUAUUUUUAGUCUUCAAAUCAAGUAGUUCACUAUAUAUUGGUAAAUUAGCAAAAAAAGUGAACAUUGUCUUGGAAUAUGGAAGUUUGCGAAGCAAAGAAUUUAAUCCUAAAAAAUUAAUUUUUGGUAAGAAAGAAAAUUAUAAUCUUAACCCUCUCGACUCGCCACUGAACAUAUGCACCACAAAACCGGUUAGACAUCAAUAUUUUGACAUCCGGUAUCAUCGUUCACUUUUCUAGAGGUAGUGCUUCAGAUAAGAUAUUAGGAACGUGGUUAAAAAGUGUGCAAUCGGACGGACUGAUAUAUCUGUUUGAAGGUGUUCCUCGAUCACUGUACCUUUCAUCGGUACAUUUAUUUUUAUUAAUGAUAUCUGCAACUUGAUGCAACAAAGCCAAUUUCAAAAGACAUGAUUUUAAGAAGAUUAUUGCACACACAAAAAUAAAUGUAAGUACAUGU